AUGUUAUAUGGAAAGGGAGGUUAGCACUCCCCUUGACAAGGAUGGAAGCGCCUCACAACACACAUGUAGUUAAGGCACUGGCACUGAGGCUGUGGCAUCCAAUCACUAUCUUUA
ensembl:snRNA predicted gene, 23031